rnacentral:tRNA from 1 species
GGGGGCGUGGCGGAAUGGUAGACGCGCUCGACUCAAAAUCGAGUGGAUUGCAUCCUUGUCGGUUCAAGUCCGACCGCCCCUA